GUGCCCAGAAAAUACAAUAUUGCUUUUAAAAUGCUUUGCCCCAUUGGUUUUUUUUCUUUCCCCCGUAAGGGUCUUAAAGUUUCCCAAGCUGACCCUGUUAUAUUUAUGACUCCUUCAAAUCUGUUUUCCUUCUUUUGAUGAAUUAGGUCCAGGUUAUGGGAUCAGCCAAUCAAGUCGACUGUCGUCUUCUGUUAGUGCCAUGCGAGUCCUGAACACAGGUUCUGAUGUGGAGGAGGCGGUGGCAGAUGCCUUGAAAAAACCAGCUCGAAGAAGAUAUGAAUCAUAUGGAAUGCAUUCAGAUGAUGAUGCCAACAGCGAUGCAUCUAGUGCUUGUUCGGAACGCUCCUAUAGUUCUCGAAAUGGUAGUAUUCCUACAUAUAUGAGGCAGACGGAAGAUGUGGCAGAAGUCCUCAAUAGGUGUGCUAGUUCCAAUUGGUCAGAAAGGAAGGAAGGCCUCCUAGGUCUGCAGAACUUACUAAAAAAUCAGAGAACACUAAGUCGAGUUGAACUGAAAAGAUUAUGUGAAAUUUUCACAAGAAUGUUUGCUGACCCUCAUGG
rnacentral:sRNA from 1 species